GUUUUGUUCUCAUCUUCAUAACCUCAAGAUAUGGGUAUUUUUUCAUACAACAUCGUAAGGUAAAGUUUGCCCCUUUCACCUUAACAGAUAUGGAAUAAAGUUUUCACCUUUCUAUAUCAUACAUUUUACAGUGUUUAUUAAUUUCGCAUAUCAUACUUUUACGGCAUUGAUGGACUGUUAUAUGGACUGUUAUAGUCAUAUAAUUUUAUAUAUGGACUGUUAGUCAUAUAUAAAUAAGAUAGAAUGUUAUAUAUGUAAUGUUUAGUAAUUUUACAGUGAAACAUUUUACAGUGUUUGAUAAAGCAUUAUAUAUAUAUAUAUGUAGUGUUUAGUUUUACAGUGAAGCAUUUUACAGUGUUUGAUGAAGCUUUAUAUAUAUGUAGUGUUUAGUAAUUUUACGGCCAACCAUUUUAUAGUGUUU